AAAAUAUUUAAACAUAUGAGAAAAUCUAAUUCAACACAACGAUUCAACGAUAAAGAUGAAUUAAAGAUGCAAUUGCAAUUGGUGCCGCCGUGUAGGGUUCCACGUGUGGGAGACAUACAUAGAAUUGAGACCUCGACCUCGACCUCCACUGUUACUGUGAGAAGAAGAAGAAGAAGAAACGCAGUGACUACUGCAAUGAGAGCGGUGGUUCAGCGCGUGGCCUCUGCCUCCGUCGAGGUCGAAGGCCGCAUCGUCUCCGAGAUCGGCCCCGGCCUUCUCGUCCUCGUCGGAAUCCACGACUCUGAUUCCGACGCCGACGCCGAUUACAUAUGUCGAAAGGUCUUGAAUAUGAGGCUGUUCCCAAAUGAAAAUACGGGCAAAGCGUGGGACCACAGUGUAAUGCAGAAAAAUUAUCAAGUUUUGUUGGUGAGUCAGUUUACGUUGUAUGGAUUCCUGAAGGGUAACAAACCGGAUUUUCACGUUGCGAUGGCACCUCAGAGAGCCAAGCCAUUCUAUGCCUCUUUAGUUGACAGGUUUAGGAAUGCCUAUAACUCUGAUGCAAUCAAGGGGAUAAAAAAGGAACAGCAUUGGGAGAGGGGUGUUCGCAAACGUUGACAAGUGUACCGAUUCGUACAAGUAGUAUAAAACAACGGUGUAUUCGGAGCAAUGAUGAAGGUAGAUUUGGUUAAUGAUGGACCAGUUACCAUGCAGCUUGAUUCAAAUUCACCAAAUUGAUGCAGCAGAAUCUUGAUCAGCGGUUGAUCUGGCUUGAUGAAGUUGAGCUUGAAUUUUGACUCUUCCGUCAGAAAGACCAAAUGCAAGACAUUCGCAUUAUGUGUUUAUUCAUUCUAGUUGAAGUUCUUUGUUCCCCAAUGUAGUAGUGACCCCAUUUUGUAACACUAUUUAGUUCAAAGAAUGCCUUAGAUUGUCCCUGUUCGUUCUGCCAUAUGGGAAUAGAGUUUGGAUCCCUUUUGGACAAAACAAGCUAAUACUUGAUGACUACUUAUCUGGGUAACUGUUACUCUUAACUGGUUCCACCCAAAAUUGUUAAAUAACCAUUAUAAAACUGCCACCAUAAUGCUAUAACAUGGCAUUUUUCGACUCUUCUGCCAUAAGCAAUUUGUGAAUGGAGGCCGGACGGCACCAAUGGCUGCAAUGGCAUGUUUAUAUUUGGCCUUCUGCCAUAUUCCACUAUCUACCAUUGAUAACCUUGAUUCCACCAAUAAAGCUGUUGAAGGUUCCACUCCCUUCUUCCUAA